GAUGAACGCUGGCGGCGUGCCUAAUACAUGCAAGUCGAGCGAACAGACGAGGAGCUUGCUCCUCUGACGUUAGCGGCGGACGGGUGAGUAACACGUGGAUAACCUACCUAUAAGACUGGGAUAACUUCGGGAAACCGGAGCUAGUACCGGAUAACAUGUUGAACCGCAUGGUUCAACAGUGAAAGACGGUCUUGCUGUCACUUAUAGAUGGAUCCGCGCCGCAUUAGCUAGUUGGUAAGGUAACGGCUUACCAAGGCAACGAUGCGUAGCCGACCUGAGAGGGUGAUCGGCACACUGGAACUGAGACACGGUCCAGACUCCUACGGGAGGCAGCAGUAGGGAAUCUUCCGCAAUGGGCGAAAGCCUGACGGAGCAACGCCGCGUGAGUGAAGAAGGUCUUCGGAUCGUAAAACUCUGUUAUUAGGGAAGAACAAAUGUGUAAGUAACUAUGCACGUCUUGACGGUACCUAAUCAGAAAGCCACGGCUAACUACGUG
rnacentral:rRNA from 1 species